AAUGUAAUAGGAAGAUAAAAAAAAAAAAAAAAAGGAAAAAGAAACGUGUACGUUUUUUUCUCACAUCGAAAGAAGAAGAAGAAGAAGAAGAUAAAUUUCUCUGAGCUGGUUCUUUGCAACAAAUACAGGGGGUGUCCUACCUCUGCCACAACCCCAUAGUUUUUCUCUAAGGAUUCAACACAGUAAUGGCCGAAAAAAAGUAUAUACAUAUAUAUAUAUAUAUAUAUAUAUAUAUAUGCUUUAUAUAAGAGGGGUUCAGUGGGGUGAAAGACAAAGAAAGAGAGAGAGAGAGAACAAAAAAAAAGGAACGACGAUAUGUAUGGGGGGGAGUCGAACACGAAGCAGCAACAGCAGCCUCUCUUUUUGACAUAUUGGGAUAAAGAUAAGGGUUGAAAGUGAUGAACAAAGGGGGGGAGAAGAAGAAGAUGAAGAAGGGUGGCAAGAAGUGGAGUGUGGAAAAUACAGGAAAACUCGUCGAUAAAUGCGCAAGCGCGAGAUCCUUUGUCACGAAUCUGCGUUGAAGAUAAAGUUUGGCGGGGGGCGGAGAGAGAAUGAUGAAUAAUGAUUUUAUUAUCAGAAGAGGAAAUGGAAGAGAGAAAAGUUGAAGAACAGAAUAGAAAACAGAAAGGAAGAGAGAGAGGAUCGCGCGUGGUUGCGUUGAAGACGAGAAAAGAAGAAACGAAUGUUUUAUCUUUUUUUUCUUCAAUCUAGUCUCCCACCUUUCUACGCGCAUCCCGUUGUUUUCCUCGCAAAACAAUUGUCUCGCGUUUGCGUGUUUAAAAACAUCACCAAAGAUAACACAACCAACAACCAACAACAACAAUAAUAGUUGGUAAUAGGUAGUAAUAUCAACAACGCAUAAUAGGACGAGGAAAGUGUUGAAGAAGAAGAACUUGAUGAAGAAGAAGAACUUGAUGAAGAAGAAGAUGUAUAAGAAGAAGAAGAGAAAAUUGUCAAAUGAGAGAAGAUUUAUACAGUUCGAAUAUAUCCCUUUCGUAUCGUAUACGAUACUUCUAAUCCGAGUUUUUUUCACGAUUGAGAAGAAUUUCGCGUUCCAUUUGUGUUUCGUCAUCCUCUCUCUUUCUCUCUCUCUCUCUCUUUCUUUCUCUCUUUCUCUUACUCUUGAAUAAAUAAAGAUGAGAUUAGACUGAAGGAUUAAAAAAAAAAAAAAAAGAAGAUGAAAGUAAGAGUGAAUGAUGAAGAAAAAAAAAAAAGAAGAAGAUUGAAAGUAGAGUGAAUGAUGAAGAGGAAAUAAAAGAAGAUUGAAAGUAGAGUGAAUGAUGAAGAAAAAAAAAAAAAGAAGAAAGAGGAAUAAUAAUAAUAUUAAUAAUAAUAAUAGUAAUAAUAAUAAUAAUCGUCAUCGAGAGAGUAUAAGUGGAGAAUACAGAAGAGUUUCUUACGGUACUGUAUUGAUAAAAUAUACGACAGUGAUGAUGAACAAAAUUUAGAAUUAGAAUAUAAGGAAUAUAAGAGCGAAUGAAUCUUUUCUGAAGAUAUAAGGUACAAUAAGAUCUUAAGCUUAUCAUCGUCAAGAAAAGAAGAGUAAAAAUGUAAAAGCAAAGAGAAAAUGAGAGAGAGAAAGAAAGAAAGAAAGAAAGAAAAAAAGAGAGAGAAGUGAUGGGGGUGUGAGGGGGAGGGAAGAGAUCAAGCAAGAAAAAAGCGGAGUAGCAAACAUAUAUAAAAAAAGCUCUCUCCGCUUAAGCUUCGUCCAUGUUUUUUAACGGAGCGCACGAUAUAUAUGUACUGAUGUAUAUAUGAUAUGACCAUGUAUACUAUGUAUAAUAUCGGGCCGAUUUUUAAACAAGGAGAAAUAGAAAGUGAAAAGAAAAGAAAGGAGAUAAUAAUGAAAAAGAAAUGUUGGUAAAGAUGAGAACACAACUUGGAAGAAUAAAGUAGAUAUGCGAUGAUCAUGAUGAUAAUGAUGAUGAUAUGAUAAUGAUAAUGAUGAUGAGUUCGAAUCCUAAAGAGGGUUUUUGAAGAUGAUAGAAAAUAAAGAAAAUGUCUUUUUGAUAAUAACAAAAAGCGUCCAAAAAAAAGUCGUAAGUGUAAGGAUACAAUCAAAACAGCGAGAAGAUUGAACGAGAGAGGGAGAGAGAGAGAGAGAGAGAGUGAAAUAGAAAGAAAGAGAACGAAGACGGUUUGAUUGGAAAAGGAAAAAAGAUUGAAAAAUUCUGUGUUAGAAAUAGUGAGAUGAGAUUAAACGAUUUGAGUGCAAUUUUUGAGAUAGAAAAAAAAAAAAUAAAAAAAAGAGGAAAAAGAAGAAGAAGAAGAAGAUGAUAAUGAUUGUAAGAGAAAACGUAGACAGAACGGAGAAGAAAGGAGGUCGAGAGGUUAGAGUCAUUCAGUUUUAUACAGAGAGAUUACAAGUUUAAGUAUAGAUAUAAAAAAAAAAAAAAAUUAUACGUGCUAAAACGAUUUUCUCUCCAUAAAAAUGAUAGAUUUCUGAGAGAUUUGAAUUUGGCAUCCAUGAUUCAUGUGAUAAAAAAGAGAAAGAGGAGGAGAGGCCAUGAUUUCUAACGAGAUCAUCUUGUUCGAAGUUCUGUUACGGUAUCCUUCUAUAUAUAUAUAUAAAAAGGGUGGUUACGUAUUGUACUUUUAACUGAAACAACCAAACAAACAAACAAAAAGACAAAACAAAUAAUCAGAGGGAAGAAAGUAUUUCUUCUAGCCUUCGACACCAACUUUAAAAAGAAAAAAAAAAUAAAUAAAAACGUUUCUUACUCUGGAAUCACGCGUUCUGUUUAAGAUGAGAUAGAUAAACAUAUUAGAUAGAUAGAUAGGAUUAACAUUGGUAGAUCGAGAAGAAAUAAAAAAAAGCACGAGAGAACGAAAGUGGCUGAAUGAAUAUAUUCUUCAAAUUUGCGAGGAUUAAAAAGAAAUAAAGGAAAAAAGUGAGGGAGAGAAUGAGAGAAUGAUGGAAACGAAGAAAUAAAAAAUGUCUGUAAGCGAAGACGGCUGAAUUUUUGAAUUUUGUCGUUGUAGUAGAAGUAACCGUCGCUACAACGACACGACGACGAAGUAAAUAAAUUUACAUUACUAUUCCCUUUUUGGAAAUAUGUCUGCAAGUUUACGGAGGAAAUAUUUUAAAGAAGAAUACGUUAAGAAGAAGAAGAAGGAGAAAAAAAAAGAAGAAGAAGAAGAAGAAAAAAAAAGAAGAAGAAGAAGAACAACAACCAAUUGUUUUCAUUCCCUUUCCUACAUUAUAAUUUCAUCCAUUUCAUUUUGCUUGAAUUCUCUUAUUCUCUAUAUUCCAUUUUUUUCCUAUUCCUAUUACAUCCCUCCUCCACCCCAUUUUCCUUACCAAUAAUAAACUCUGUCCGUCUUUAAAGACCAGAGAUUUCCUAAAAUUAUUUUUAAUUAUCCUAAUACAUAUUAGAUAAUAAUUCCUUUGAUAACCUUUCCUUAGAUAUUAUCCCACCAUUUAUUUACAUUCCUAUUAUGGAUUCAUUUAUUUUUGUUUAGGGCCCUUUUCAGGGCCCGCAAAUGUUUUAUGAACGUAAGGUUUACAACUCUACAGAGAUUUACAAUUCAAAAUAAAAUCGAAAAUUGACUUUCUCCUCUUAAUACGUUAGACUUCAUGGGAAUUUUACAUUUCUAAUAAUUUUUUUAUUACAGUUAGUUUGAUUGGUAUCAUCUGGACUAAACGAAAGUUGGAAUUAAUUUAAUGUAUUUAGGGAGAAAAUGUUUAAGUCUGUCUUUUUCAAGAUAAAAUAUAUUCCCGGAGCUUUUAUAUCUGUCCUUUUCAGGACAAAAUGUAUAAGAAGAUUACAAAAAAACACCCCAAGUUCCUUCGAAAAUUAUUUUUCCACAAUGAAACAACUUGAAGAAGAAACUAGGGACUCCAUUUUUCAACAGGAUAGAGGACACCCCCUUGCGACUAGGCUUGGCUUCUUUUUCAUCCCUGAUUUUUGACUUUCUCCAAGAAAUCCCGCUGAUCAAAAACUCUACGAAUUUUGUUCUAUGGGAAUACAUAAACAAAUCAAGGAUUUUUUCCACCAAUGCCGGUUAACAUUGACGAACUCCAAAUAAAAAUAUCUGGAAAUCCAUCGAAAUCGUGACACAUCGGAUAUGUUGCAUGGAAUGGCGAUCAGAUUGAACAUCUUAUGGUUAAAUAUCCCAUGUGAAUAAAACCCUGCAGCUGGAAAAAUUUCUUUCUGAUGGUAACUGGAAUCUUUUCAAAUAGAAGAAAUAGCAAUGCUACUUUUAGGACUGGAAUUUCUUUUUUGUCUGUAUUGUAUUCUCUUUAAUAUCAUUGGAAAUUAUUAUUAAUCUAAACGAAAAAUGAAAAAAAAUUAACAAUAAGCCGAAUAUUUAAUGUAUUAAAACUAAACCCACCGACAUUUUGUGUAUACCUAUUUUUACCGUGAGCUCUCAAAUGAAUGAAAUUUUAGCGAAUAAAAAUGCGUUUUCUCUGCAUACUUUACAAAUUUGAACGCACGUGGUUUUAAGGACGAGAUUUUUACCUAGAUUUAACAUCUGUCCUUUUGAGGACAAAAUGGAUUCCUGUAGUUUGAAUUUCAUUGGCUAGAGCUCUAGGGCUACGCCCCUUGCUUUUAUUAUAUUCACAGGUAUUCUCUUCCCUUUUUAACUCAAAGAUUCACAUCCUACCUUACCUGGUUUUGUAGACAACAAAGAAUAAAUAAAAACAUUGGCGUCAGUACUCACAAAUGUUUAUUUAUGGUU
rnacentral:lncRNA from 1 species